AGUGAACGCUGGCGGUAGGCCUAACACAUGCAAGUCGAACGGCAGCACAGGAGAGCUUGCUCUCUGGGUGGCGAGUGGCGGACGGGUGAGGAAUACAUCGGAAUCUACUCUGUCGUGGGGGAUAACGUAGGGAAACUUACGCUAAUACCGCAUACGACCUACGGGUGAAAGCAGGGGAUCUUCGGACCUUGCGCGAUUGAAUGAGCCGAUGUCGGAUUAGCUAGUUGGCGGGGUAAAGGCACACCAAGGCGACGAUCCGUAGCUGGUCUGAGAGGAUGAUCAGCCACACUGGAACUGAGACACGGUCCAGACUCCUACGGGAGGCAGCAGUGGGGAAUAUUGGACCAUGGGCGCAAGCCUGAUCCAGCCAUACCGCGUGGGUGAAGAAGGCCUUCGGGUUGUAAAGCCCUUUUGUUGGGAAAGAAAUCCAGCUGGCUAAUACCCGGUUGGGAUGACGGUACCCAAAGAAUAAGCACCGGCUAACUUCGUGCCAGCCGCCGCCGUAA
rnacentral:rRNA from 1 species